UGGGGGGCCCUGCUUUGGGCCCGGGGGCUCUGCAGGCCUCACCCUGGGGCACUUGCCCUCCCGCAGGUUCGGGGAGGCCCUGGCCCGCACCCGCACUAGCCCCCUCUCCCGGGAGCAGCCCCACCUCCUCGGAGCAGGGGGCCGGACUGUGCUAUUUCUGUCCUUUCUGGGAUUCUUCUGAGAACAGGCUCUUGUUUUCGGUCCGAUUCCCGAUUCCGAUGUGAAACUUUUCCCGGGGCCUCCCGCCCUUGCUGGCUGCCUGUCUGGUCUCCCUCUCCUUCCCCGGAGGAGCAGUAGCUGGGUCCUGGGAGAUCAAGCUGGGCCCAGGAGGGGCCCUUCCCUGCAGGGGCCCUGGGGCCCCGGGCGGAUUUGGGUGCUCUGGAGUAGGACGCUUUGAUUCCCAUGGCAAACCCUGUUCCUGUGCAGAGGAGCCACCUCCAGGGCCCCAUCCUCAGGUUGCGCUACAUGGUGAAGCAGCUGGAGAACGGGGAGGUCAACAUCGAAGAGCUGAAGAAGAACCUGGAGUACACGGCGUCCCUGCUGGAGGCCGUCUACAUAGACGAGACGCGGUGAGAGGCGCCCCGGGGCGGGGUGGGGGGACAGGGGGGCCCGGAGGGAGGGCGGGAGGAAGGGGCAGGGGCACAGGGAGGGAGUUGGCCCGGUGGGGACACAGGGCAGCGAGGGAUGGAGG
rnacentral:lncRNA from 1 species